rnacentral:rRNA from 1 species
GAUGAACGCUGGCGGCGUGCCUAAUACAUGCAAGUCGAGCGAACGGACGAGAAGCUUGCUUCUCUGAUGUUAGCGGCGGACGGGUGAGUAACACGUGGAUAACCUACCUAUAAGACUGGGAUAACUUCGGGAAACCGGAGCUAAUACCGGAUAAUAUUUUGAACCGCAUGGUUCAAAAGUGAAAGACGGUCUUGCUGUCACUUAUAGAUGGAUCCGCGCUGCAUUAGCUAGUUGGUAAGGUAACGGCUUACCAAGGCAACGAUGCAUAGCCGACCUGAGAGGGUGAUCGGCCACCCUGGAACUGAGCCACGGUCCAGACUCCUACGGGAGGCAGCAGUAGGGAAUCUUCCGCAAUGGGCGAAAGCCUGACGGAGCAACGCCGCGUGAGUGAUGAAGGUCUUCGGAUCGUAAAACUCUGUUAUUAGGGAAGAACAUAUGUGUAAGUAACUGUGCACAUCUUGACGGUACCUAAUCAGAAAGCCCCGGCUAACUACGUG